CGGCUGCCAGCAUCGUCUAUGCUCUAGAUAGGGGUCAAAUGUCAACUUUCUGCCAGGUCCAGCCCGGAUGUGAGGGCUGUGAAGGCAACAACCAAGGAACCAUUCCUUCGGAUGGAAGUCCUAUGGCAGAGAGAAGCUGAUGUUUGAAUUUUCCUGUAGAGCCCUUGAGGUUCCAUGAAUCAGUCUGGGAAGGAUGCAGGUUAAGUGGGAAGCAGAAGCCCUCAAUCACGUGAUGACGGAAAAGCCGAAAAGGCUGGGUUAUACCCUUAGGAAACCUAUUUGUUUCUUGGCUCCCUGCAGGGGCAUGCACACUAGCAAAGGCUCAAUCCCUUCAUUAUUCAUUUGAUCACAAAAGAAGGAAUGAGAGGAAAAAUACUUUUAUUUUUCACCAAGCAAUCACCAAGCGCAGUCUCAACGAAGAGCCCCUCCUUCUUUCAUGUCUUCUUUUGUGUGUGACUUACUCAGUCUAAGUUUCAUCCACAGGUAAAGGAACCCAAGCUGGGCCCAAUGCCAAGUGCACUUCUUCAAUGUUACAUUCUGGGACAGGAGAGAGGAUCACUGGUUGAGCCUACCUACUCUGUGGACACAUUGUAAUCCUGAAACUGUUCUGAGCUUCCAUUCAUGGCCAGGUGUGCUCCCAGUGUAACAGAAGGUUCAUGUUGAUACUUUGAAUCUGUGUAUGAUCCUGUGUCAGGUUGACAUGUUUGGAACCAAACAUUCCCAUAACUUAUGGCUAACUGAGUUGGUGAUUGAAGAUUGCUUCAGGGAAGUGUCAGGGAAUUGUUACCUGUUAAGUCACCAUGGUUUUGAAGAAAUCUUUUUUUUUUUCCAGGACACCUGAUCACUUCAUCGUUGGGUUCUGUGUUUGAAAACUGGGCCAGCUCUGAACCUGGGUGACAGAACACACUGUGGAGAAACCUUGUCUCUAGGAUCUUGCUCAUACACUCUUGGCUCCUCUUGCUCUGGUGGAGCUCCUCAGUGCCCACUGGGAAAGUGAUCUGGCUCCCAAGACCACCAGCCUGUUCAAGUCAUGGAUGGCACCAGUUUUCACAGGCUGAGUGAUUAGAAAACAGACUCUGGGACAGCUGUGUACAUAAGAGUCAUCUGGGCAUUGCUCUUACAAUCCCUGUAGAAGACAAGAGCUCAGAUUGACCCACCCGAAGUCCCUGGGAUUCACUUCUUCACCCUUCACACCUCGGCUUGCAGAAACAAGAUGCCACGUUUGACUUUAUGUGGUUGCUGGGAACAUGAAUUUGGGUCCUAGGGUUUACAAGUCAAGCACUUUACCCAUUGACCAUCUCCCUAGCCGUGUGACUGGCUUCUUUACCUUCAUGAUAACUACUCAUCAGCUAUAUUUUAAUCUGGCAAGGGGACUUGAAUUUGAAUGAGAUGACUCUAGUUAAAUAGUUUUGAUGAGGAGUGACAACUGAAGGCUCUUCGGGGCUAAAGGGAUACUUAGGUGUUGUGUUCCAUCCCCACCCCUGUUGACUAUAUAGGGCGAUACAAUGACUAACACAGGCUGGACACUUUAGAAGACAAACUUCAGACAAUUCCCCACCAAAAGGAUGUAUACCCUGGUUAUGGGUUUUUGGUUUGGGAGACUAUGUAUGCUAAGAUGAAUGUAGCUUGAUGAGUUGGGAAGACACUACAUAUGAGAUGAGCCAUGGUAAAGACUGCAUAAAGACAGGGGCAGACUUGGAUCUUUCCUUUCUCGGUUGCUAAAUGACUGAAAAAGCCUUUUAACCCCAUAGACCUUCUGCUCAUCUAAACAGAGUGGAGGUUGGCACUAUCUAAGACAUAUAAAGAACCGUCAAAACUCAGUGAUUAAAAUAUUAGACUAGGAAACUUAGAAAAGACAGAUCUGCCACUAAAGAGGCUAUAAAGAUGACAAAGUAGUAUAUGAAAAGAGGAUCAACAGCAUAAGCCAUCAUAGAAACACUCAGUAAACAUACAGUAUGAUACACUAAGGAGUUGAGGGGUCACUCAGUGGUUAGGGGCACAGAGGACUCUGCCAGAGGACUUGAGUUCACUUCCCAUCUCAUGUGGUUCGCAAUUGCCUAUAACUCCAGCUCCAAGGGUGAGGAUGGUCUUCCACACACACAUGCACACACACACACACACACACACACACACACACACACACACACACAUACACACAUACAUGCACAAAUGCGCAUGCUCACACACAAACACAUACUCACAUAUAUAAAUAAAAUAGAGAUCCUACCCUACUAUCAGAAUGGUUCAAAAAAUUUAAGGACAUCAACAAACACUGGCAAGGAUGUCAGACUCAUACGCAGCUACUGAGAAUGUAAAAUGGGACAAUCAGUCUAAAAACUGCAUUGAUGUCUCUAGGAAAUCAAACAUAUGCCUGCCAUAUGACCCAGAAAACAUUUUCCUAAGGCAUUUAUCCAAGAGAAGUGAAAGUGCACAAAAUCUACAUAUGCAUUUUCAUAUAUGUUGAUUUUCAAUAACUAGAAAUAACCCAAGCAUCUCACAACAAGCGAGCAAUUAGACAAACUACCAAGUCCACAUUCAGAAAUACUACUCACCAAUAGCAAUGAGAACAGUGUCGGUCUACACAACAACUCAGGUGGAUAUCAAGAGAAUCAUGCUGGGGAGGGAAAUUUCAGACUUCCGUAUGGUGUUUGAUAAAAUUUAUGCAACAUUCUUAAAAUUAAUCAAAGUAUAAAUCUGGAGACAUAUUAUUGCUGGUCACAGGUCGGGAGAAGGGACAGGUGGCAGUUGGUUCUAAAAGGUAUCACAAGAGGCCACUGAUGGGACGAGUCUAAGUUUGACUAUGGUGGUUUUCUUUUUCUCGGUUUUCUUUUUCUAUGAUAAACACCAUUACCAAACGCAAUUUGGAGAGGAAAGGGUUUGUUUCAUCUGACAGGAGACAGAUUGAAAGCAGGACCUUAAAGCAGAAACCACAGAGGGAUGCCCUUUAGUGGUUUGCUCCGUGUUCAGCUAGCUUUCUUAGACAACCUAAGCGACCUGCCUAGGGAAGAUGCUCCCCGUAGUAAACUGGACAGAGAAGGUACCACACACAUCCCCAUAGGCAACCUGAUGGAGGCCAUCCCUUAACCGGCAGGUUCUUUCUUCCCAAGUGUAUCUCAUAGAGAGGCACACGAGUCUCUCCACAUAACAAAGUUACAGACAGAGUGGCACCGGCCUAAAAUCUCAACUACGCAGGUGACAGAGGCAGAAGGAUUGCAAGUUUCAGGUAUGCCUGUGUUACAGAUUGGGAUCAACGCUACCUUGGGCAACUUAAGUCAGAUGGAACCAGAAGGCUGGGGAUACAUCUCAGCGGUAGAGCACUGGCUUAGCCUGUGUAGGUCAGUUUCUAGUAUGGCAAGCAAUCAAUGAAUAGCUGAAAAUAUGCAUGUCUAAGCACAGGGCAAAACUAUGAAACCUGGAUAUGACUAGUAUAGUCUGUCAAUUUUCUGGUUGUGAAGUGGUGUUGUGGUUAUGCAAUCUGUUGCCAACUAAUAAAAACUGGUAUGCAUAUGAAUUUAUAAUUUUCAUUACUAUUAUUAUUAGUAUUAGUAUUUAUGUGUGCACAAUGAGUACAGUGCCUGCAGAGAUGAGAAGAAGCAAGGAGAUCUCCCAGAGCUAGAUUAGCAGGCCAUUGUGAACUGCCCAUCAUAGGUGCUGGGAACCUGAUUUAGUCAGGCUUCUCUGAAGGAACAGAACUGAGAGUGAAUGUGUGUAUGUGUGUGUGUGUGUGUGCGUGUGUGUGCGUGCGUGCAUUUGUGAGUGUGUGUGCAUGUGUGUGUGUGCGUGCGUGCAUGUGUGAGUGUGAGUGUGUGUGUGUGUGUGUGUGUGCAUGUGUGUGUGUGCAUGUGUGUGUGUGUGUGUAUGCAUUUAUAAGGCUGGCUUACAGGAUAUGGUCCGAGUAGUUCAACAAUGGCAGUCUCAUGAUGGAAAGACCAAUAUCUAAACUGGCAGCUGUUCAGUCCACAAGGCUGGGUGUCUCAGCAGUCCUCACCUAGCUCUGGGAUCCUGGAGGAUUCCUGGAGAGCAGAUGGUUUUCUAUCUUUGUUGGGAUUCUGAAUAGUGAAGGAAUGCCUGAGCAACAGGAGAGAUGCCAGACACAGUGGGGCAAGCAGGCAAAAAAAAAAAAAAAAAAAAGCCAAGUGUCCUUCUUCCACGUCAUGUUAUCUGGGCUGCCAUCAGAAAGUGGGGCCCGGAUGUCGGAUGUGUCUUCCUGCUUCAAAUAAUCUGAUUUUAAAAAACUGCCUCACAGAAGUGCCCAGCAACUUGAGUUUUAGAUGAUUCCAGAUGUUGUCUGUUGACAAAAUUAGCCACCACGGAACUGAGCUCCGGGAUCAAAAUAUUGAGUAAGUGGUACAUAUGGUGGCAGAUCUGACCAAGUUUCAAGGAGAGAAGAGGAUGUCCUAAAAAAAUGGGUUAAGAAAUGGCCAAGGACAGAAAAAAAAAUGACCACAUAGGAGUUGAAGAGGUCGGUAGCUCUAGAGGAGGAACCGUGUUGGAGCUUUGUCAGGAAAGUGGUUCAGUAGAGAUGAUAAAAGGACACAGCAAAAGGAGCCUGGAAAGGCGGGAAGAGCCAGAUGGGGUGUGGUUUCCAGCAAUGUGGAAUGACACUCACUCCAGGGCACUGAGGAGGCUUGGCCAGGGCUUUGACAGAGGUGACUGCAGCUGCAGAAGGCCAACUUAAACUAUUCUAGGAAUUUUGAUUACAAUGGCAAUUUAGUGCAGGAAUAGAUUACCAGCAGAGCUGGGGGAGGGGAGCAUUCUCUUGGAAUAAAUCGAGUUGACUGUUAAGAAAGAUAAAUAACUUCACGUGGGAAAGUAUGCAGGAGACAGCUGCAGGGGGGCUGUAAAUUGGGUCAGAGGGAGAGCCAGGAACAAAGCAAGUGCAGCAGACAUCUGUCCCUGGACCAGCAAUUGUGUUUCUCUUGUCAUAAGCUGGAAGGCCACAUUGGAGGAGCCAUCUGAGCCCUUUUCAACUUCCUCUUGUCUUUGGAGAUCUCCACACCCAUAUCAGUGGGUGGCUAUUUUCCUAGAGUAAUAUUUGCAUGUAAUAGUUGAGUCGUUUGUAAUGAACAGAAAUGAGCAUGGGGGAGAUGCUCUUCAUUUUUAAUGAAUUCUUGAGGACGUUUUUACUUUCUCUUAUAAAGUCCCCUAAAUCCAGUUAAAGUCUAGCUCACUCCUUCUGUUUUGCAUCAUGCUUUCUUCCACUUAAGAACAAAUGUGGAAUGACCAUGCGGUGCUCUCAAAACAGGACAUAUAUGCAUACCACCACCAUUACCACCCCCCAGGGAACACUGUGAAAGAGAGGGCCAAAAGGUCAUAAGGGCUGCAGGUCAGGAUGGGGAGUGACUGUUGUGACACAGUGUCUUCUGGGUAUGGCAAGGCUAUAAACAGAACAUCUCGUCUACUGUAUGAAUGCAUCACCUGUCAGCUAAAAAGCCCAUGGGCUAUGGCUUAGGCAGGAAAUAGAAGGUGAACCGUGGGAGGAGAAAGAAUUCUGGGAGAGAAGGAGGCAGAGAGAGUCACUGAAAAGAUGUGACAAGACAGAUGCCUGGUACCUGAGCUCAUAUCGCCAAUCACAUGGGAGAAUGUAGGCUAGAAUCAAUGGUUAUUUCAAGUUAUAGCUAGUCAGAGAAGAGCCUAGUUACAUGGCCAAGGUAUUUGUAAAUAUAUUUUGAGUCUGAGCCUUAUUUCCGGGAGCACGGAGCUUGGAGGAAGAUCCAGGGCUUAACUUCAACAUGAGGCCAUUACACUUAACGAACUCACAGCAGCAGUGGCUGCUUACACAGAUUCAUCCAGUCAACAUUCCAGGAUAAACGGAAGGUACCCCAUCCAUAACUGAGAGUUAUUGGCCGUUGAUGUCCCCUGGGGAGAAAGGGGAGUUUUCUUCAGGAAUGUGGUCUCUUACAGGUUGCUCAUGCUGUGGUGAAUGUUCCUACACCUGUGCCCAUAUGAACACCACUUAGUAGGUUAUAAAGAGCAGAAGAGGAAGAUCUGACACUUCAAAGGGAUAUGGUGGGGAGAAUCUCGGAUAACCAGGAAGGUGAGGGUGGGAAUAGAUAUGAUCAAUGCAUUGCAAACUUGUAUAGAUUAAAAUUUUUAUAAAGUUACAAAAGAACAAAUAGAGGUACGAGGCUGGGGUGGGAACAUUUGUGAAACUCCCUGGAAACAGGGAUCAGUGGCAAACAUGUCUAAGAAAGGUCCCAAUUAAUUGCAUGCAGUGAUUAAUAAUUACAUCAGUGGCCAGCUGAGAGCUACAGCUCACCACACUCAAGCUCCUAUUUAUUUCUUGGAAAGUAUGACUGGAAAAGUUUCUCAACUAUAUAUAUAUGUUCAGCAGCAGUUGAUGGUCAGCCUUAGACCAACAGAACCUGACCGUGGGGCACAUGCGAGAUGGAUGGAAAGGAGCCUACUAUGGGUGUCACUCUUCUCAUGACAGAGGGCAAACACCUAAUAGGAGGACCAACUUGAGUCAUGGAGGGUUUGCACGAGGUUCAGAGGAUAAAGUCGAUCACCGCCAUGAGAAACACAUGGAAACAGAACCAGUCCGUUAUGACAACGGGAGUGUGAGAUAGCUUGCUCACAUGUGACUGGAUCUGGAAACAGAGCAACCAGGACAGAAUCAGAGGCGAUCCGUAACCCUCAAGUUUCAUCCCUAUGCCCCACCAACUAUGAAUGAGACUGUGUGUCUGUCCAACCUCCUGAAAGAGUGCUACCAGCUGGGGACCAAGUAAUCAAGCAUGUGAGCUUCUAGGGGACAUUUCACAUCCAAGCCAUAAGCCUAAUUUAAAGAACCCUAAUUGUGUACAUUUAUGACAUCCCCCAUCUGGCUGAAGAAAAAAAAAAGGGUAAUAAUCCUCUAAUGACUUGGACUAAACGAUUUCUAAAUUGACCAGGUACUCUAUAAUGCCCAAGUCCACCCUGCUUUGGGCUAGUUAAUAAUUAAUUUAAAGAGAUUAUGAAGGAAAAGUUCAACAAAUUAGCAGAGACACUGGAGUAAGCUCAGGUGUCAUUUAAAAUUGAUCUUUCUAUUUAAUGUACAGGAUGCUUCUGUGAAGAAAACCUCUUAUUCAGUAUGACCACAGCCUGAUACACUGAAUAGAUUAUGGAAAUUACACCUUUAAUGCCUAGGGAAAUAUUUGUACAUAAAGAAAAAUGGAGAUCAAAGCUCUAUACCUUGGGACUGGAGAGGUGGCUCAUUAGUCGAGAGCACCUGCUUGUUCUUCCACGAGAUCUGAGGAUCUGGCUCAAUUUGUUAAUUCGGAAUAAAUCUGGAGCUUAGGUCUCUUAUGUCACUAGGAGCUCAGCAGGUGCCAGAAUGAGAACAUUUACAAGUCCCAGUUCAUGAAAUGGUCUGGUGUUCCACCCAUAGCUGACUUUUUCCAUUCCACUGAGUCCCUCGAGUUUAAUUCUUUUCCAAAUAAGUAUCUAUGUCUCAACUGCCCAGCACAGUGAGAACACGGUCAACAGCCUCACUUCCGUGUGCUCUCUCUUCACGCCCUCCUGCUCCACCGAGACAUCCUCCACCUUGAAUUUCCUCCUGUUUCAUUUUCUUGCUUUAAAAGUAUCAAUUUUAGCAGGCACAGAAAAUGGAUGGACUUUUACUUAAAUCGGCAACAAAUGGCUUAGACAACAACUACCUAAAUACCUGUUUUGGCAUUUGGACCUUAAAAAAGAUAAAGUGCGGAGCCAAUAUUCUCCUGGAACUUCUGGUUUGUUUUUGUUGUUCAGUCUUUUUUUUUUCUUUUUUAAUAUUUUUAUUAGGUAUUUUCCUCAUUUACAUUUCCAAUGCUAUCCCAAAAGUCCCCAUACACACCCCCCCACUCCCCUACCCACCCACUCCCCCUUUUUGGUCCUGGCAUUCCCCUGUACUG
rnacentral:lncRNA from 1 species